UACAGCCACAUCAUGUUGAAACACUGGUUCCCGUACAAUCACUAAAGUUAAGCAAUGUCAAGCUUGGUCAGUACCUAGAUGGGUGAGGACUUGAGAAAUUACAGAUGCUGUAAG